rnacentral:rRNA from 1 species
UACAGAGGGUGCAAGCGUUAAUCGGAUUUACUGGGCGUAAAGCGUGCGUAGACGGCUAUCUAAGUCGGGUGUGAAAGCCCCGGGCUCAACCUGGGAAUUGCAUUCGAGACUGAAUAGCUAGGGUACGGUAGAGGGAAGUGGAAUUUCCGGUGUAGCGGUGAAAUGCGUAGAUAUCGGAAGGAACAUCAGUGGCGAAAGCGACUUCCUGGACCAGUACCGACGUUCAGGCACGAAAGCGUGGGGAGCAAACAGG